GAUGAACGCUAGCGGCAGGCUUAACACAUGCAAGUCGAGGGGCAGCAUAAACAUUGCCUGCAAUGUUUGAUGGCGACCGGCGCACGGGUGCGUAACGCGUAUGUAACCUACCUCAAACAGGGGGCAUAACACACCGAAAGGUGUGCUAAUACCGCAUAACAUAGCUUGGCCGCAUGACCGGGUUAUCAAAGAUUUAUUGCUCAAGGAUGGGCUCGCGUCCGAUUAGGUAGUUGGUGAGGUAACGGCUCACCAAGGCGACGAUCAGUAGCCGGUCUGAGAGGAUGAACGGCCACAUUGGGACUGGGAUACGGCCCAGACUCCUACGGGAGGCAGCAGUAGGGAAUAUUGGGCAAUGGGGGAAACCCUGACCCAGCAACGCCGCGUGAAGGAAGAAGGCCUUCGGGUUGUAAACUUCUUUAGUAGGGACGAAGAACGUGACGGUACCUACAGAAAAGCAACGGCUAACUACGUG
rnacentral:rRNA from 1 species